CACCACCUGACCUGGAGGCCGGACCUAAGACACGGGUAUGAGAGCACUGGAAGACUCCAGCAGAAACGGCCCUGGCUCUCCUAACCUGGCUUCCUUCCCACCAGCCAACCUUGUCGUAUCAGCUUAUGGUCAGCACCUUUGCGGAAUCUAGAAGAGGCCUCCUCAGAUUAUCUGAAGGAACUUGGCGGUGCCAUAUUGAAGGAUCUGGGACAGAACUCAAGCAAUCCACGGUUCAACCUAAGGGUCCAGAGGGCUCAGGGUAACACUCCCUGUCUGAGUCAGACCAAGCCGCAGGCCGGGAAACCACAUCACACAUGUUGGGAAGCAGGUGAUUCCAGCCUCUGUCCUCAGAAUCCCGCCCUCUGGGCUGUAAGGUAGCACCGUGGAGACCACCCCCAGCACGAGAGGCAGGGCACCUCAAGAGUCUUAGCUUUUGGAGAGGGUGAGCUUCGCUUGCCAGAGGGGCAGAAAGCGAGUCAGCGCCUGAGUAAGGCCAGCACCAAGAACACACUUACAGGCUCGCUGGCCCCUCCUCGCUCACACAGCUCUACCUUCCCCAAGGACCGUGCUGCAUUCUGCAUUGCCUGUGUCUCCUGCCAGGAGCUACAGCCAGUCCUUCCUUCCAGGCCCAGUUCACCUACCUGACACCCAGUCACCAGCCAAAGUUGAUCAGAAGGAGAGUUUGUUUUGUUGCUAUUGUUCGGCAGUACAGAGGAUUAAACCAGUGCCUUCACACAGAGCCUCUUCUCAGCCCUUAUUUCUUUAGAGCCUACAUGCUGAGCUUUAUCCAUUUAUCCAUUCACUCAUUCAUUCAAUUAUGUUUUGAGAUAGUGCCUUACGAAGUAACUAAGGUGCCCAGACUGGGCUUGAACU